CGCCUCGUCCCCGCUCCGCCCCCUGCCCCCGAGCGGCGCGGGGGUAGAGACUGCUCGGGCCCGGCCCCUGCCGCUCCGCCACACGUGGGAGGGCCCGGCGUGCGUGUGCGCGGGUGAGGCACGGACAUGCGGGAGCGUCUGCACACUGACAUACAUGCCACUGACGGUGGGAGGAGUGUGAAUACCAGGGCCUAACCCUUCUAGCAGCAGUGGAGGUGAAGGUUCCCCAUCCAGAGGUAAAACAUACUCUGGCUUUAUGCUAAUUUUUUUUGCCUCAGAUUUCUUACCAUUGCCGCCCCACUUCAGCUCAGCAAGUAGCAGCAAUGUUGGAAGCUCUGGCCUCUCCACCAGCCGUUCUGCUGGCUGCUCAUCAGCCAUUUGUUGACCAGCUGACUGUCAGUUGCCUUCUGCUACCACCUGCCUCUCUUCUGUGACCUCAGCACAUAAGCGUCUUAGUAAUUUUCAGCUCUUUGCAGUAACCACCUCACACAAGAUCUGUCUACAGACUGACAUCUAGUGGAGAUAAAACAAUAUUCUGCAGAACUGAAUAAAAAAAAAAGUCUGAAUUUUACAGUUUUACAAACAUGGGAAUCACAGGGGAUUUAGUUGCAAUUUUCCCAGCUUACGUCUGGAUGAAAGAAAGGCCUGAAGCUGAAGGGGCUAUAUACACAAGUACUCCAAACUGUAGAGAGGCCCAGACUCUCAUCUGAAUAAAAUAAAAGCUCUGUUCCAGCAUGUGUACUAUCUAUAUCGCUAAUAUAUCAUUCAUUUACUAGUACUAGAAUAUGGUUUUUUACUAGACACAUUACACCACAUACUGAUCUGUGUACUUGCACACAAUCAUACAAUGUAUUUUAAACCUCGAAGGUACCAGAUACUUUCCUGUAAAUAUUCUACAAACAGUAACAAAUGACAUAUUAAAAUCUCUGUUAGGGAUGGUUGGGGCUACUUUUUUUAUUCAACUGAGGCUGUUGAUAUUCACUGAAUACAAAUACAAAUACUGAUUUCCAUCCUGGAGAGGGUGGAGAGGGGAGUGAGGUAAUGGGAAGAGAGUGUUGGCUAAAUGGUGACUUGAAGGCAGGAACAGGAAGGGGGAAUCAGGCACCACGGGAUGUGGCAAGAG